AAGUUGCAGGUGAAAGCAGGAAGUAGGAGGUGAAAGUCGGUGCAGGAGAGAGAGCGAGAAAGUGCAGUCUUGCAUGUAGCUGAACAGAGAGCCUGGGUGUUGGGGCCGACGCCCAGGGACUUGUAAUAGUGGUCGCUCCCGCAGAUUUUGUUUUGAAGGGUGGGAGGAGUGACCGGAAGGUGGAUGACUCUCCGCGGAAGGCAGCGGGAGUCGGUACUUGGGACGUGGUGUCCCCUGCGUGAGAGCCUUGGCCGUUAGGGAAUCCCAAGUUGCUGUCUGGAGGAGUCUACCGGAGCCAGGGGUCGGUAAGGCGAUCCAAACAGCUGAAGCAGGUUCAGCACCAGCCAUGGUUUGUGCCCGCCUUGUAAGCGCUGCUACAAUAGGAGGUGACAUCUUUAUGACCAUGAAUUGGAUUGAGAGGCUCUGAAAAUGGUCAUUUGAACGAUUUUAACCUGAUGCGUAUGAGCCACCUGAAGCAUAUUUCUGGGUCCUCCCGUUAGGAGUUGCCACAGCGGAUCAUCUUUUUCC